rnacentral:misc_RNA from 1 species
UUUCCGUAGGUGAACCUGCGGAAGGAUCAUUAUCGUAAAACCGAGGUGCGAGGGCUGUCGCUGACCUUUUCGGUCGUGCACGCCCGAGCGCUCUCACACAAUCCAUCUCACCCCUUGUGCACCACCGCGUGGGUCCCUUUCUGGCUCGUCCGGAGGGGGGGCUUACGUUUUCACACAAACUUUGUAUGCAGUGUAGAAUGUAUUUUUUGUUUUUGCGAUCACGCAAUCAAUACAACUUUCAACAACGGAUCUCUUGGCUCUC